AAAUGGCUGCAACAGAUCAGGUCUGGGCCAGGCCAAAGCCAAAAGCCCGGAACUCAGUCUGGGUCUUCCAUGUGGAUGGCAGAGACCCAAACACAUGAGCCAUCAUCCACUGUUUCCCAGGAUGUGCAUUAGCAGGAAGCUGGAUUGGAAGCAAAGGCAGCCGAGACUCAAAGCAGGCACGCCGAGGCGGGAUGCGGGCAUCCUAAGAGCUGGCUGAACUGCUGAGCCAAACGCGGGCCUGGCUUCAGGCUCUUUGUUGUGAACAGUGUGGUGACGAACAUCCUCGUCACAUAAAUGCUGGUGCCUCUGUCCGUUCAUUCUUCACAGUAAAUUCCCAGAAGUGAAAUUACAGAAUGAAACAUGCAUUUUUUAAAAGAUUUAUUUAUUUACUUGAAAGUCAGAGUUACACAGAGAGAGAAGGAGAGGCAGAGAGCGAGAGAGAGAGAGAGAGAGAUUUUCCAUCUGCUGGUUUACUCCCCAGCUGGCCGCAACGGCUGGAGCUGCACUGAUCCGAAGCCAGGAGCUUCUUCCAGGUCUUCCCACAUGGGUGCAGGGGCCCAAGGACUUGGGCCAUUUUCCACUGCUUUCCCAGGCCAUAACAGAGAGCUGGAUCAGAAGUGGAGAAGCCGAGACUCGAACUGGUGCCCAUAUGGCAUGCCGGCACUGCAGGCGGCGACUUUCCUGUUAUGCCACAGCACCAGCCCCGAAACAUGCAUAUUUGAAGGUUUUUGACAAAUUUUGCCAUACUAUUUUAUUUAGACUGUAUCAGCACAACCGUGUCCUUUGACCUGGGUCUUGAUUCUGAAGUGUUUGUUUCCACUGUUUCUGCUCUCUGGCCGUUUGUUGGGUAAAAGAUGAUCUUCCUAUGACAGGUUGGGGAACCAGGCUUUCACUCCAGUAAUUUGUCUUCCUGAGGAAAUUUUGGCAAAUCUAAAAAUAUAUAUGCUGCUGUUUCUAAAACCCAGUGUUGGGGCUGGCACUGUGACUCAGCAGGUUAAGUUACCACUCACAACGCUGGCAUCCCGUAUCUGAGUGCCAGUUUGAGUCGUGGCUGUUCAACUUCCAAUCCAGCUUCCUGCUAAUGUGCCUGCAAAGACAGCAGAUGAUGGCCCGAGUACCUGAGUCCCUGGCACCUGUGUGGGAGACUUGGGUGCAGUUCCUGGCUUCUGGUUUUGACCUGGCCCAGCCCUGGAUGUUACAUGCAGCCUUUUGGGGGGUAAGCCCGUGGGUGGAAGAUUUCAGUCUCUCUCCAUCUUUCUCUCUUUCUCUCCCUCUUUCUCUGUUGCUCUGCCUUUCAAACAAAUAGUAAAUAAAUCUUUUUUUUUUAAAUCCCAGCAUUGAAAAUAUAGACUUCUUGUAGCUUUUAAUAAAAAUAAUAAUAAUGUAAUAGUCUAGAACUCUCUGAAGUAAGACUUGAGGCAUGAACAGCAGGAGCCCAGAAUCUUACCUACACAAACUCACUUUCCGUUGAUUGUAUCACCAUUUACUUUGACACAUAAUGGAACACAUCACCUUCCUUUGUGGAAAUUGUGUUUAUAAAACACUAAGCUGAUACUGCAAAGUCAGGCUGUACCCAAACCUUGAGAAUAGAGCUUUUCCGCAGAGAAAUCUGUGCCUGUGGUGCAAAUGUCUUCAUGCGUGUUUUAAAAUGCUUGUUUUGCUUUAUUUUUAAAUAACAUAUAGAAAGUUUUACACAUGGGCUUGGGGCCCAAAGUGAUAAUUAUUUUUAAAAAAUGUUAUUGAGACAGAAUUCACAUAUAUUUGGAUAUAAAAUUCACACUUUGAAGUGAACAAUUGAGUGAGUUUUAGCCUAUUCACAAGGUUGUGCAACCAUGACCACAAUUAAAAUAAAACUGUUCUCAUAAGCAUCGUUCCUCACGCCAUCCUUCCUGCUUCCCCUGACAGCGCUAACCCACUCUCUGUCUACGACUGCCUGUCCCGGGUCCUUCACACAAAUGAGAUUCCAUUACACUUUGUGGACCUUUCUGUCUGGCUUCUUUCACCUAGCCUAAUGUUUCCAUGUGAGAAAACCAGUUUUAGAAAAGUGAAAUUCAUACUGGCUGAUGAAGUAUUAAAUGGAGGUCAUUCUUUCUAAAUCCAGGAAAUUGAAAAACACGAGAGGAUCUAUUAGGAGCAGAGAGCAAUAGGAUGGAUUUCUGGUGGAGAUCAGGGAGUGGAAACAUUGAAAACGGAAAGAAAAAGGAAAAUCCAGGAAAGCAGAGCUGUGUUGACUGAAAUCGGUUUCAUGGACAAGGCUUUUCAAGUUUACUUUUUUGAUGAACUGGAAACAUGUCAUUCUAGAAGCAACGUGGUCGGUCCUAUUUUGGUCAUUGUGUAUUCUCUUGGCUCUUGGGGGUCAAACUUCUCAGAUACAGACUCCUUUUGUUAUCUGACAAAAUUGUGCUGGGUCACGUGUUCAUUUUUUCUUUUUCGAGAUUCAUUUUUAUUUGAAAGGCAGAGUGAUAGAGAGACACCUUGCAACUGCCGAUUCACUCCCCAAAUGGCCACAAUGGCCAGGGCUGGUCCAGGCUAAAGCCAGGAGCUUGGAACUCCAUUUGAGUCUCCCAUAUUGGUGGCAGGGCCCAAGCACUUGGGCUGUCAUAUGCUGCUUUCCCAGGUGCAUUAACAGGGAGCUGGAUUGGAAGUGGAGCAGCCAGGACCUGACCUGUGCUCACAUGGAAUGCUUGGUCGUAGGUGGUGCUUAACCUGAUAGACUGCAACGCCAACCCCUGUUGUUGUUUUCUAUGGCAUUUUUCUUGAGUGUCUGCGUGGCCUUUUGCAAAACAGUCGGUUUUCAUUUUCUCCCCAAAUGUUGGCAAUGGACAGUUGUUUCUGCAGAGGCUACUUCCUCAGCAGCACCUGCGAUCCCAAGAACCCCCAGGGACAAGGGAUUUGACUGCACUCCACCUUCCAAAUGCUAACUUGUCAUAGGCAGGUGUUGAGGAUGGCAUUUGUUUUGCUUAUUUUAGACCUCAGUCUUUGUGUUAGCAACUCUGCUUUAGCAUAUGUGUUUAUCUGAACAGAAUGGGAAGAAAGUGCAGCUGAUUUGAAUUUCAGAUGACUGAUGGUAAUGGCAUUGUGAACUUGAUUAUCAGCUCUUUGCCAUCUCUGUCCAGGGAGGGAAGCGGUGGUACAGAUAAUUAAACCUUUUGUUUGACUUUGGACUGCCCUGUCAUAUUCUGGCAGCCCACGUUUCCCUUAUAUUUCUCUGAAGGAAAGCUAGCCUUUAGACAGCAGGAUGCUUCCCUGGACUACUCGUAAACAGAAUGUGUGGUUGUUGGGAACCGAGUUGUGGAUUUCAGGCAUAGAUAUUCUCCGUGGAGGUGACAGAGGAGAUCUUGUGUGGGAAUGGCUGCCGCUUUUCCAUCGCGAGAGAAUUAGCAGCUGGGUGUUUUCCAGGAGUCACAGAGGCUUAGAGCUCCUGUUCUGCAUUUUAUGGAGGCAUUUGCCUUUAUGUAUGUUCUUAAAUUUCUCACCUUCACUAAAGUGAUUGCAUUUAAAGAAACAAGUAUUGCAUUAAAGAGGAAAAAUGUUCUACAAACUAUGGAAGACUUCCAUCUACCUCCUGGAGCUUAGCAGGGCCAUUUUGUGGUGAUUGUCAUUUUUUUUCUUUUAAAGAUAGCUAGCUAGCUAGCUAGAUUUAUUUAUUUAUUUAUUUAUUUGAAAGGCAGAGCGGCAGAGAGAGAGAGGGAGAGGUCUGCCAUCCACUGAUUCACUCUCCAAAAGGCUGCAACGGCCGGAGCUGGACCCAUCCAAAACCAGGAGUCAGGAGCUUCUUCCAGGUCUCCCACGUGGGUGCAGGGUCACAAGGACUUAGGCCAUCUUCCACUGCUUUCCCAGGCACAUUAGCAGGAAACUGGAUUGGAAUUGGAGUAGCCAGGAGUUGAACCAUUGCCCGUAUGGGAUGUCGACACUGCAGGCGGUGACUUUACCCGCUAUGCCACAGUGCCAGCCCCGUGUGACUGUCAUUUUUCAGCCUUUUUUAUUUUUUUUAUUUUUUAUUUUUUUUACAGGCAGAGUGGUCAGAGAGAGGAGAGACAGGGAGAGAGGUCUUCCUUUACCGUUGGUUCACCCUCCAAUGGCCGCUACAGCUGGCGCGCUGCAGCCGGUGUACCGCGCUGAUCCGAUGGCAGGAGCCAGGUGCUUCUCCUGGUCUCCCAUGGGGUGCAGGGCCCAAGCACUUGGGCCAUCCUCCACUGCACUCCCUGGCCACAGCAGAGAGCUGGCCUGGAAGAGUGGCAACCGGGACAGAAUCUGGCACCCCGACCAGGACUAGAACCCGGUGUGCCGGCGCCGCAGGCGGAGGAUUAGCCUAGUGAGCCGCGGCGCCGGCCCAUUUUUCAGCUCUUAAAGGUCUCAGGGUUUGAGACUGAAGUGUAGGCUCUACAAGGGGUGUUCCUGGCCCUGACGUAUCUGUCACAGACCUCACACGAGAACUGUGCUGCUUGAACUUCCCUGUGCCUUUCAGAGUUGGGGGAGGGGGAGAGACAGGCCAUGUGCUGCCAUAGGGAGAGGGGCAGGAGAUAGGAGGGGAGGGGAGUUAUUAAACGGAAGUGAAAUGUAUCGAAGAAAAGAUGUCUGUUCAAGGUUGCCUGAGGCUUUGAAGGUGGAGAUGUUGGAAAGAAGGGACUUUGUAUUUGUGCUGCCCUUGGCAUGGUGCAAAGGUGCCCUACGCAAAAGUAUCUGGGCUGUUUAAUGCCGUGCCAAGGUCAGCCUCCCCUGCAGCCCAGCUUCCCUUCUCUGCGGCAGGCUCUAGCCUGCGAGGGUGUCAUUCGUGAGUCGUGUCAUGGAAGACACAGGGUAAGGGAGUUGGACGUGUCCUCCCGUACCCGUGGUGCCUGCGUUUUCUCUUCUGCCCUGAAUUCUUGUGAUGCUCGGGGCUGAGGUGUCUUUUGCUUCGGGAGGGAGGGAGGGUGUUGAAGCCCUUGGAGAAGAUGAGUUUUCCCCAGAGGGGAGCAAAAAGUAAGAGGCGGAGACAAUCCACACGGUCAGUCAGAUAGUAUUUCCUGACUGUGUGCGGGGCACUGUGCUGGCCUGGGGGAUCAGAGGGGACAGGGUUGGCAAACAGCUGCUUGAAUAACUACUUCAUUAAAGUUAUGACACAGACCUCAGGGAAAUGUCAGGCACUGUAAGAUUAUUUAUCAGAUAAUUUUGCUGUAAAAACUCAUGACCCUGUUUUGCUUAAGAGAACAAACUUUUAGAGUGAGAAGGAAGGGAACCAGGGAAAAAUCAAAGGUGUCACAGCCAGAUUCAUGGUGCAUUACAGAAACCACGGAGAGACUUCAAGGGCAAGGUUGUGGUUGCCGUGGAGAUGUGAGGGCUGUGAAGGACGAUGAGGCUGGUUUACUGCCUGUGGUGAUUAAAAUGGUCCGAGAAAAGUUUGAGGAUUGAGAGCCAAAUCCAAAUUACAGAUUAAAAAGUGAGAGAGUGGUGAAACCCUGAGUGCUGUGAGAGCUCUCAGACUUACACUGUGGCCAAUUAACGUGAAAUACCUUGUGAUGUUCUGGUGUGUUUGCCUUGCCUGGCCGCCCCCCUCCCCCUCCCCGCUAGAUUGGCAGCUCCCUAAGGGUUGGGACCAGAAACCCACACUGGUGCUGAAUUAGCACGCAGCCGUCAGUCACCAGGGCAGGUCCUGGGCCUGAUCAUCUGUUUCCUCAUCUAUAAAAUGGUGAUAUUCCUAACUCCCCCGUAGAACAGGAUACACCACUCCUGGGCCUUGUGAGCGGAAAAUCAGUCGGUUAAUGGUAACAGCUGCUUCACUUAAAAAGUCCUGUGGUGAUUGGGUUUUGGUUGUUUGUUUCAGGUUUGUUCCUUAUAUUGGAAUUGUGACAAUUCUCAUGAAUGAUUAUCCUAAAUUUAAGUACGCCGUGCUCUUUCUGCUGGGCUUGUUUGUGCUGGUUCAUCGCGAGUAAGAAGCCUGCCUUGCCGCCUCUGGGAAGAUGCCGUACUUUCUGUUACCGAAUGCUUGGAGUAGAUUCUGGUCUCUGAUUGGUGGAGUGGAGAACACACGUGUUGGCGCUUCUUGGUAGCACUGGUUUGCAUUAGUUCAUGUUUCCACGCCAGAGUAUGUGUGGGCGGGCGCGUGUGCAUCGCAGGGUGCACUCGAGGGGACUUUCAAUCACAGGAUUUCCUAUGUUGUCAUUGUCACACUUUGGCAUUUUUGUACAUCAGUGAAUUUUUUAUAUUAAAAGGUUGAGCCAAAGCCCCCAGUGUUUGUAUCUGAAGCCAGGCUUCACUUCUGAAGUGCCUACAGAGCUCUGCAGACGCAAUGCAGCUGCCACGAGCUCGCGGCCGUCCUUCCUCCUGCCAGGGGGUGGCACGUGCUCAGGAGGUCGUCAGUCUUAACUUUGCAGAAUUUUAAAUAAAAGACUUUGCACAUUGAA